rnacentral:rRNA from 1 species
GACGAACGCUGGCGGCGUGCUUAACACAUGCAAGUCGAGCGGUAAGGCCCUUUCGGGGGUACACGAGCGGCGAACGGGUGAGUAACACGUGGGUGACCUGCCCUCAGCUCUGGGAUAAGCCCGGGAAACUGGGUCUAAUACCGGAUAUGACUCCAUGACGCAUGUUGUGGGGUGGAAAGCCUUGUGCGGCUGAGGAUGGGGCCCGCGGCCUAUCAGCUUGUUGGUGGGGUGAUGGCCACCAAGGCGACGACGGGUAGCCGGCCUGAGAGGGCGACCGGCCACACUGGGACUGAGACACGGCCCAGACUCCUACGGGAGGCAGCAGUGGGGAAUCUUGCGCAAUGGGCGAAAGCCUGACGCAGCGACGCCGCGUGAGGGAUGACGGCCU